rnacentral:sRNA from 1 species
AGUGUAAUCAUCAUGUUUCUAUAUAUAAAAAUCACCUUGGUUAUCUAUAGUUCAAUUUUCUAAAGCCUUCAAGCCUCUGAAAUUCUUCAAAAUUCAGAAGAAGUAGAAGGAAGUUUUUGAUGAUGAGUGAGGUGGAGGAAGCCAUGCAGUGUGUGGAAGAGCUGAAUGCCCAGGGCCUACUGCAUGUUUUUGUGAGAGUGGGAGUGGAGUCCACCCUGGAAAGGAGUCAGAUCACCAGGGAUCACAUGGGCCAACUACUCUAUCAUCUGGUACAGUCAGAAAAACUCAGCAAACAGGACUUUUUCAAAGGUUUUUCAGAAACUUUGGAAUUGGCAGAUGACAUGGCCAUUGAUAUUCCCCAUAUUUGGUUGUACCUUGCUGAACUGGUGACCCCCAUGUUAAAAGAAGGUGGAAUCUCCAUGAGAGAACUUACCAUAGAAUUUAGCAAACCUUUACUUCCUGUUGGAAGAGCUGGGGUCUUGCUUUCUGAAAUAUUGCACCUACUAUGCAAACAAAUGAGCCAUAAGAAAGUGGGAGCCUUAUGGAGGGAGGCUGACCUCAGCUGGAAGGACUUUUUACCAGAAGGAGAAGAUGUACAUAAUUUUCUCUUGGA